rnacentral:rRNA from 1 species
UAGUAGGUGGGGUACGGCUCACCUAGGCGACGAUCCCUAGCUGGUCUGAGAGGAUGACCAGCCACACUGGAACUGAGACACGGUGCUUCAGACUCCUACGGGAGGCUAACAGUGCGGAAUAUCUGAACAAUGCGCGGCAUAGCAUUGGAUGCAGCCAUGCCAAGUGAUGACUAGAAGGCCUUAGGGUAGUAUAGUAUCUUUCGCAGUGAGGUCAAGGCCAUGAUAGUAAUAACCGCGUGCGAUUGACGUACCCGCAUGAAUAAGCACCAGCAAACUCCGUGCCACAGCUCGCGUGAAUACGGAAAGGGCUGGCAAGCGUUAUCGGAUUACUGGGCGUAAGCGACGCAACGGUAUCGAUCGACUCCAAGCGUAAAGAAAUCCCCGGGCUCAACCUGGGAACUGCAUCCGAAACUGGCAGGCUUGAGUCUCGUAGAGGGGGGUAGAAUUCCAGGUGUAGCGGUGAAAUGCGUAGAGAUCUGGAGGAAUACCGGUGGCGAAAGCGGCCCCCUGGACGAAGACUGACGCUCAGGUGCGAAAGCGUGGGGAGCAAACAGGAUUAGAUACCCUGGUAGUCCACGCCGUAAACGAUGUCGACUUGGAGGUUGUGCCCUGAGGCGUGGCUUCCGGAGCUAACGCGUUAAGUCGACCGCCUGGGGAGUACGGCCGCAAGGUUAAAACUCAAAUGAAUUGACGGGGGCCCGCACAAGCGGUGGAGCAUGUGGUUUAAUUCGAUGCAACGCGAAGAACCUUACCUGGUCUUGACAUCCACAGAACUUUCCAGAGAUGGAUUGGUGCCUUCGGGAACUGUGAGACAGGUGCUGCAUGGCUGUCGUCAGCUCGUGUUGUGAAAUGUUGGGUUAAGUCCCGCAACGAGCGCAACCCUUAUCCUUUGUUGCCAGCGGUCCGGCCGGGAACUCAAAGGAGACUGCCAGUGAUAAACUGGAGGAAGGUGGGGAUGACGUCAAGUCAUCAUGGCCCUUACGACCAGGGCUACACACGU